CACGUAGGGCGCAAGCGUUGUCCGGAAUUAUUGGGCGUAAAGAGCUCGUAGGUGGUUUGUUAAGUCUGCUGUGAAAACCUAGGGCUUAACCCUGGGCUUGCAGUGGAUACGGGCAGACUAGAGGUAGGUAGGGGAGAAUGGAAUUCCUGGUGUAGCGGUGAAAUGCGCAGAUAUCAGGAGGAACACCGGUGGCGAAGGCGGUUCUCUGGGCAUUACCUGACGCUGAGGAGCGAAAGUGUGGGGAGCGAACAGG
rnacentral:rRNA from 1 species